rnacentral:rRNA from 1 species
CCGCAAGGAGAGUGGCAGACGGGUGAGUAACGCGUGGGAAUCUACCCAACCCUACGGAACAACUCCGGGAAACUGGAGCUAAUACCGUAUACGCCCCCCUUUAAAAUGUCAGGGACAUGAAAUGCUGGCAUUUUAUGGGGGGGAAAGAUUUAUCGGGGAUGGAUGAGCCCGCGUUGGAUUAGCUAGUUGGUGGGGUAAAGGCCUACCAAGGCGACGAUCCAUAGCUGGUCUGAGAGGAUGAUCAGCCACAUUGGGACUGAGACACGGCCCAAACUCCUACGGGAGGCAGCAGUGGGGAAUAUUGGACAAUGGGCGCAAGCCUGAUCCAGCCAUGCCGCGUGAGUGAUGAAGGCCCUAGGGUUGUAAAGCUCUUUCACCGGAGAAGAUAAUGACGGUAUCCGGAGAAGAAGCCCCGGCUAACUUCGUGCCAGCCGCCGCCGUAACAC